rnacentral:rRNA from 1 species
ACGGGCGGUGUGUACAUGGGCCCGCACAAGCGGUGGAGCAUGUGGUUUAAUUCGAAGCAACGCGAAGAACCUUACCAGGUCUUGACAUCCUUUGACCACUCUAGAGAUAGAGCUUUCCCUUCGGGGACAAAGUGACAGGUGGUGCAUGGUUGUCGUCAGCUCGUGUCGUGAGAUGUUGGGUUAAGUCCCGCAACGAGCGCAACCCUUAUUGUUAGUUGCCAUCAUUUAGUUGGGCACUCUAGCGAGACUGCCGGUGACAAACCGGAGGAAGGUAGGGAUGACGUCAAAUCAUCAUGCCCCUUAUGACCUGGGCUACACACGUGCUACAAUGGGAAGUACAACGAGUCGCUAGACCGCGAGGUCAUGCAAAUCUCUUAAAGCUUCUCUCAGUUCGGACCACAGGCUGCAACUCGCCUGCAUGAAGCCGGAAUCGCUAGUAAUCACGGCUCACCGUCAAUUCAUUUGAGUUU